rnacentral:rRNA from 1 species
CAACCCUUGACAUCCUGUGCUACAUCCAGAGAUGGAUGGUUCCCUUCGGGGACGCAGUGACAGGUGCUGCAUGGCUGUCGUCAGCUCGUGUCGUGAGAUGUUCGGUUAAGUCCGGCAACGAGCGCAACCCACAUCUUCAGUUGCCAGCAGUUCGGCUGGGCACUCUGGAGAAACUGCCCGUGAUAAGCGGGAGGAAGGUGUGGAUGACGUCAAGUCCUCAUGGCCCUUACGGGUUGGGCUACACACGUGCUACAAUGGCAUCUACAGUGGGUUAAUCCCCAAAAGAUGUCUCAGUUCGGAUUGUUCUCUGCAACUCGAGAGCAUGAAGUCGGAAUCGCUAGUAAUCGCGUAACAG